rnacentral:rRNA from 1 species
CAGUCGCCACGGUAAUACGAAGGGGGCUAGCGUUGCUCGGAAUCACUGGGCGUAAAGGGUGCGUAGGCGGGUCUUUAAGUCAGAGGUGAAAUCCUGGAGCUCAACUCCAGAACUGCCUUUGAUACUGAGGAUCUUGAGUUCGGGAGAGGUGAGUGGAACUGCGAGUGUAGAGGUGAAAUUCGUAGAUAUUCGAAAGAACACCAGUGGCGAAGGCGGCUUACUGGCUCAUUCUAGACGCUGAGGUGCGAAAGCGUGGGGAGCAAACAGGAUUAGAGACCCCUGUAGUCCCUGUCUCUUAUAC